rnacentral:rRNA from 1 species
GGGUUGUGAGGUUAAGCGACUAAGCGUACACGGUGGAUGCCCUGGCAGUCAGAGGCGAUGAAGGACGUGCUAAUCUGCGAUAAGCGUCGGUAAGGUGAUAUGAACCGUUAUAACCGGCGAUUUCCGAAUGGGGAAACCCAGUGUGAUUCGUCACACUAUCAUUAACUGAAUCCAUAGGUUAAUGAGGCGAACCGGGGGAACUGAAACAUCUAAGUACCCCGAGGAAAAGAAAUCAACCGAGAUUCCCCCAGUAGCGGCGAGCGAACGGGGAGGAGCCCAGAGCCUGAAUCAGUGUGUGUGUUAGUGGAAGCGUUUGGAAAGGCGCGCGAUACAGGGUGACAGCCCCGUACACAAAAAUGCACAUGCUGUGAGCUCGAUGAGUAGGGCGGGACACGUGGUAUCCUGUCUGAAUAUGGGGGGACCAUCCUCCAAGGCUAAAUACUCCUGACUGACCGAUAGUGAACCAGUACCGUGAGGGAAAGGCGAAAAGAACCCCGGCGAGGGGAGUGAAAAAGAACCUGAAACCGUGUACGUACAAGCAGUGGGAGCACAGAGCAAUCUGUGUGACUGCGUACCUUUUGUAUAAUGGGUCAGCGACUUAUAUUCUGUAGCAAGGUUAACCGAAUAGGGGAGCCGAAGGGAAACCGAGUCUUAACUGGGCGUUAAGUUGCAGGGUAUAGACCCGAAACCCGGUGAUCUAGCCAUGGGCAGGUUGAAGGUUGGGUAACACUAACUGGAGGACCGAACCGACUAAUGUUGAAAAAUUAGCGGAUGACUUGUGGCUGGGGGUGAAAGGCCAAUCAAACCGGGAGAUAGCUGGUUCUCCCCGAAAGCUAUUUAGGUAGCGCCUCGUGAAUUCAUCUCCGGGGGUAGAGCACUGUUUCGGCAAGGGGGUCAUCCCGACUUACCAACCCGAUGCAAACUGCGAAUACCGGAGAAUGUUAUCACGGGAGACACACGGCGGGUGCUAACGUCCGUCGUGAAGAGGGAAACAACCCAGACCGCCAGCUAAGGUCCCAAAGUCAUGGUUAAGUGGGAAACGAUGUGGGAAGGCCCAGACAGCCAGGAUGUUGGCUUAGAAGCAGCCAUCAUUUAAAGAAAGCGUAAUAGCUCACUGGUCGAGUCGGCCUGCGCGGAAGAUGUAACGGGGCUAAACCAUGCACCGAAGCUGCGGCAGCGACACUGUGUGUUGUUGGGUAGGGGAGCGU